UACGGAGGGGGCUAGCGUUGUUCGGAAUUACUGGGCGUAAAGGGCGCGUAGGCGGCCUUCUAAGUCAGACGUGAAAUCCCUCGGCUCAACCGGGGAACUGCGUCUGAGACUGGAAGGCUUGAAUCCGGGAGAGGGAUGUGGAAUUCAGGUGUAGCGGUGAAAUGCGUAGAUAUCUGGAGGAACACCGGUGGCGAAGGCGG
rnacentral:rRNA from 1 species